GAUGAAGAACGCAGCGAAAUGCGAUAAGUAGUGUGAAUUGCAGAAUUCAGUGAAUCAUCGAAUCUUUGAACGCACAUUGCGCCCCUUGGUAUUCCAUGGGGCAUGCCUGUUCGAGCGUCAUUUGUACCUUCAAGCUCUGCUUGGUGUUGGGUGUUUGUCUCGCCUCUGCGUGUAGACUCGCCUCAAAACAAUUGGCAGCCGGCGUAUUGAUUUCGGAGCGCAGUACAUCUCGCGCUUUGCACUCAUAACGACGACGUCCAAAAGUACAUUUUUACACUCUUGACCUCGGAUCAGGUAGGGAUACCCGCUGAACUUAAGCAUAUCAAUAAGCGGAGGU
rnacentral:misc_RNA from 1 species